rnacentral:rRNA from 1 species
AUUGAACGCUGGCGGCAGGCCUAACACAUGCAAGUCGAACGAGUGGCGGACGGGUGAGUAAUGUCUGGGAAACUGCCCGAUGGAGGGGGAUAACUACUGGAAACGGUAGCUAAUACCGCAUACCAUCGGAUGUGCCCAGAUGGGAUUAGCUAGUAGGUGGGGUAACGGCUCACCUAGGCGACGAUCCCUAGCUGGUCUGAGAAGAUGACCAUCCACACCUGAACUGAGAACAGGUCCCGAAUCCUACGGGAGGCAGCAGGUGGGAAUAUUGCACAAUGGGAGCAAGCCUGAUGCAGCCAUGCCGCGUGUAUGAAGAAGGCCUUCGGGUUGUAAAGUACUUUCAGCGAGGAGGCGUUACUCGCAGAAGAAGCACCGGCUAACUCCGUGCCAGCAGCCGCGGUAAUUC